rnacentral:rRNA from 1 species
CCCAUAACUCAGGGAUAGCCUUUCGAAAGAAAGAUUAAUACCUGAUAGUACUUUUUUACAAGGCAUCUUGAGAAAGUUAAAGAUUUAUUGGUUAUGGAUGGGGAUGCGUUCCAUUAGAUAGUUGGUGAGGUAACGGCUCACCAAGUCUUCGAUGGAUAGGGGUUCUGAGAGGAAGGUCCCCCACAUUGGUACUGAGACACGGACCAAACUCCUACGGGAGGCAGCAGUGAGGAAUAUUGGUCAAGUGGGCGAGAGCCUGAACCAGCCAAGUAGCGUGAAGGAAUGAAGGUCCUAUGGAUUGUAAACUUCUUUUAUAGUAGAAUAAAGUGAUCCACGUGUGGAUUUUUGUAUGUAUACUAUGAAUAAGGAUCGGCUAACUCCGUGCCAGCCGCCGC